CAGAGACCACAUCUCAAAGAAAAAGAAAGUAUGAGGCGGUAACGAAGACUAUGAAUGAGAAUGAAAUAGAGUAAAGAGAAAGAGAGUAACUGGGGUGGUCAGGGGAGGCCUCUGUGUUCAGGUCACAUUUGAGCAGAGGCCUGAAGGAGGUGAGUGAGUGAGCCAUAUGGGUAUCUGGGGAAGACCAUUUCAGGUAGAAGGAACAGCAAGUGCAGAAGUCCUGAAAGGGAGAUGAUUUUGGCCAUAGGGAGCGGGGCAGGAGGUGAGGUAUGACAGUGAGAGAGGCCAGAUCAUAAUGGACCUCACCUUUGGUUUUUCAUGGGUUCUGCCUUUGUUUUUGUUUUUGUUUUGAGAUUUUUAUUUAUUUACU
rnacentral:lncRNA from 1 species